UACGAAGGGGGCUAGCGUUGUUCGGAUUUACUGGGCGUAAAGAGCGCGCAGGCGGUCGUUCAAGUCGAGUGUGAAAGCCCCCGGCUCAACUGGGGAGGGUCACUCGAUACUGAUCGACUUGAAGGCAGGAGAGGGAAGCGGAAUUCCCGGUGUAGUGGUGAAAUGCGUAGAUAUCGGGAGGAACACCAGUGGCGAAGGCGGCUUCCUGGCCUGUUCUUGACGCUGAGGCGCGAAAGCGUGGGGAGCAAACAGG
rnacentral:rRNA from 1 species